CUGCAGUUAUUUUUUUCAAUUUCAUUGAUAUUUUUUAAAAUAAUUAUCUGAGUAAGUUCUAUUUUAACAUGAUUAUUUUAAAAGUAUUACAUCACAAAUGCUUAAAAGAAAUUCAAAAGAUGGUGUAAAUAAUAAAAAAUUAUGAUAUAAGCUACUGGAUGCAUUUAUCAGUAUGUUUUAAUAAAAUAAAAUGUAUUUCAGCAAUGCAUUCUCAAGAAGGAAGAGAUGAAUGAACCCUACCCUCUUACAAUGAACAACACAUGGACACUCUCGGGAUGAUCCCUUUGCUUUCAUUAAGAGUUCCAAGAUGUGGGUCUGAUUGACUGGGGUGUGAAAUGUAACAGCCAAUGGUGUACUUAAGCUAAGACUGUCAGUCCCAAUAUUCAAGAGGAAAAACCCCUACAUAAACAAAUACAUGGGCGCAGACAUUUUGGACACCCAAAGUUGUGCGGAGGAGAAAAUGCUAGCUGGCGCGUGAUUGGUC